UGACAUGCGGCAUCGUGUGGACCCCUGGAGAUGGGGGGUUUUGGUUGGGGGGAGGGAGCAGCGAGCUGAACCCCAGCCCCCAACCCGUCCUGGUUUGCUGCUCUGACCCCUUUUCCUCCUCUUCCUCAGGGCCCCGCAGGACCCCAAGGUGCCCCCGGGCCGGCUGGCGAGGAAGGCAAGAGAGGAGCUCGUGGUGAACCUGGUGCCGCUGGCCCUGUGGGCCCCCCCGGAGAAAGGGGCGCUCCUGGCAAUCGUGGAUUCCCCGGGCAGGACGGGCUGGCCGGACCCAAGGGUGCUCCAGGUGAACGCGGCCCCGCUGGUCUCGCCGGUCCCAAAGGUGCCACCGGUGACCCCGGACGUCCCGGAGAGCCUGGGCUGCCCGGAG